rnacentral:rRNA from 1 species
AUCAUGGAGAGUUUGAUCCUGGCUCAGAACGAACGCUGGCGGCGCGUUUUAAGCAUGCAAGUCGGACGGCAAGAGUGGUAGCAAUACUGCUCCUAGAGUGGCGAACGGGUGAGUAAGACGUAGGUGAUCUACCUCUGGAUGGGGGAUAGUCCGUGGAAACACGGGGUAAUACCGCAUGAGGCCUUGUGGGUAAAGCCAUGAGGUGAAAGGUGCAAUUGCAUCGUCUGGGGAUGAGCCUGCGGUCCAUUAGGUAGUUGGCGGGGUAAGAGCCCACCAAGCCGACGAUGGAUAGCCGGCCUGAGAGGGUGUACGGCCACACUGGAACUGAGACACGGUCCAGACUCCUACGGGAGGCAGCAGUGGGGAAUAUUGCGCAAUGGGGGAAACCCUGACGCAGCAACGCCGCGUGAGUGAAGAAGGCCUUCGGGUCGUAAAACUCUGUCUUUGGGGAAGAAAAAAAUGACGGUACCCAAGGAGGAAGCCCCGGCUAACUACGUGCCAGCAGCCGCGGUAA